GCACUCUGCUUCAUCAGGAAACUGCAUUACAGGAGCAGUUCUGCAAAUGAUAGCUUUCUCCUGGGACCUGGUGUAGCAUGUGGCUAUGGAGAGCUGUGAUGCACCUGAAGACCUGUAGAAGAUGGCUUGCGCACCAUCUAUCUGGGAAGGAAACAUAGGUGUUGCCUGGUGAAGACUGCACAGUGCUUUUUGAUGCUUUCCCAAGAUUUGUUUUUGUCCUGUUGGGUUGCAGCUGCAGACACAUUGCUUCAAGUAUCCAUCUGACAAGGCCAUCUGGAGGUCCUCCAAGGGAAACAGUGGAUGCCUUUAUUGUUCAUAAAAGUUACAACUAAAUUCGGACUGGAUAAAGCUUAAGGAAAUACCUCUUGGAGGACAACCCUGCCUUGGCUGCUGGAAGCCGAUGAGCUCGUGCUUGAAGAAGUUGGCAGCUGGCUACAAGAGAAGGAAGCCAGGCUGAACUCAAAGAGCUACACACCUCUGAAGGCCCCCACAGGAGAUUAAAUCUGGCUCUGUGCACCUUUGCCCUUCUC